UUGUAGCUGGCCCUAUCCCGGGGCAUGUGCACGCCUUGUUCAUUUCAAUUCUACACCUCUGUGCACUCAACAUGGGUUUGGUCGUGGCUUGUCUCUCGGGAUAAGCUUUGAUCGCCUGUGGUUCUCUACAAACAUCAAAAAAAGUAUUAGAAUGUUUAUAGCGUGUUAUAACGCAUCUUAUACAACUUUCAGCAACGGAUCUCUUGGCUCUCGCAUCGAUGAAGAACGCAGCGAAAUGCGAUAAGUAAUGUGAAUUGCAGAAUUCAGUGAAUCAUCGAAUCUUUGAACGCACCUUGCGCUCCUUGGUAUUCCGAGGAGCAUGCCUGUUUGAGUGUCAUGGUAUUCUCAGUUCCCUAAGUCUUUGCGGAUUAUAGGUGAAUUGGAUGUGGAGGUGAUUGUCGGCGUGCAUGAAAUAUUGGCGUGCCGGCUCCUCUGAAAUAAAUUAGCCGGGAAUGUUGCCGUGCCAACCUCAGUGUGAUAAUUGUCUACGCUGUUGUUGCUCAGCAAAAUAUGUGUUCUCGCUUCCAAUCGUCUUCGGACAAUUUCUUGACAUCUGACCUCAAAUCAGGUAGGACUACCCGCUGAACUUAAGCAUAUCAUA
rnacentral:rRNA from 1 species